GUGUCAGCAGCCGCGGUAAGACAGAGGGUGCAAACGUUGUUCGGAAUUACUGGGCGUAAAGCGCGUGUAGGCGGCUCGGCAAGUCGGAUGUGAAAGCCCUGGGCUCAACCUAGGAAGUGCAUUCGAAACUGCAGAGCUUGAGUUCUGGAGAGGAAGGCGGAAUUCUCGGUGUAGAGGUGAAAUUCGUAGAUAUCGAGAGGAACACCUGUGGCGAAGGCGGCCUUCUGGACAGUGACUGACGCUGAGACGCGAAAGCGUGGGGAGCAAACAGGAUUAGAUACCCCGGUAGUCC
rnacentral:rRNA from 1 species